rnacentral:rRNA from 1 species
UACGUAGGGUGCGAGCGUUAAUCGGAAUUACUGGGCGUAAAGGCUCGUAGGCGGCCAACUAAGUCAGACGUGAAAUCCCUCGGCUUAACCGGGGAACUGCGUCUGAUACUGGAUGGCUUGAGAUUGGGAGAGGGAUGCGGAAUUCCAGGUGUAGCGGUGAAAUGCGUAGAUAUCUGGAGGAACACCGGUGGCGAAGGCGGCAUCCUGGACCAACACUGACGCUGAGGAGCGAAAGCCAGGGGAGCAAACGGG